rnacentral:rRNA from 1 species
AGCAGCCGCGGUAAUUCCAGCUCCAAUAGCGUAUAUUAAAGUUGUUGCAGUUAAAAAGCUCGUAGUUGAAUUUCGGGGUUAGUAGGUUGGUCAUGCCACAGGUAUGUACUGAUCUUACUGAUUCCUCCUUCCUGAUGAACCGUAAUGCCAUUAAUUUGGUGUUGCGGGGAAACUGGACUGUUACUUUGAAAAAAUUAGAGUGUUUAAAGCAGGCUAACGCUUGAAUACAUUAGCAUGGAAUAAUGAAAUAGGACGUUCGAUCCUAUUUUGUUGGUUUCUAGGAUUGACGUAAUGAUUAAUAGGGAUAGUUGGGGGCAUUAGUAUUCAAUUGUCAGAGGUGAAAUUCUUGGAUUUAUUGAAGACUAACUACUGCGAAAGCAUUUGCCAAGGAUGUUUUCAUUAAUCAAGAACGAAAGUUAGGGGAUCGAAGACGAUCAGAUACCGUCGUAGUCUUAACCAUAAACUAUGCCGACUAGGGAUCGGAUGAUGUUAAUUUUUUAAUGACUCAUUCGGCGCCUUACG